rnacentral:rRNA from 1 species
UACGUAGGUGACAAGCGUUGUCCGGAUUUACUGGGCGUAAAGAGCGCGCAGGCGGUCGUUCAAGUCGAGUGUGAAAGCCCCCGGCUCAACUGGGGAGGGUCAUUCGAUACUGAUCGACUCGAAGGCAGGAGAGGGAAGUGGAAUUCCCGGUGUAGUGGUGAAAUGCGUAGAUAUCGGGAGGAACACCGGUGGCGAAGGCGGCAUCCUGGACCGGCAUUGACGCUGAGGCGCGAAAGCCAGGGGAGCAAACGGG